GACGGAGGAUGCAAGCGUUAUCCGGAAUGAUUGGGCGUAAAGCGUCCGCAGGUGGCAAAUCAAGUCUGCUGUUAAAGCGCAGGGCUUAACUCUGUAAAGGCAGUGGAAACUGAUUAGCUAGAGUGCUGUAGGGGCAGGCGGAAUUCCGGGUGUAGCGGUGGAAUGCGUAGAGAUCCGGAGGAAGACCGGUGGCGAAGGCGGCCUGCUGGGCAGUUACUGACGACUGAGGCGCGGACAGCGUGGGGGAGCAAACAGGG
rnacentral:rRNA from 1 species